AGUAACGCGUGGAUAACCUGCCUUGCACUGGGGGAUAACACUUAGAAAUAGGUGCUAAUACCGCAUAAGCGCNCAGAGCCGCAUGGCUCAGUGUGAAAAACUCCGGUGGUGUAAGAUGGAUCCGCGUCUGAUUAGCUAGUUGGCGGGGUAGAAGCCCACCAAGGCGACGAUCAGUAGCCGGCCUGAGAGGGUGAACGGCCACAUUGGGACUGAGACACGGCCCAAACUCCUACGGAAGGCAGCAG
rnacentral:rRNA from 1 species